rnacentral:misc_RNA from 1 species
AAAUGCGAUAAUUAAUGUGAAUUGCAGAAUUCAGUGAAUCAUCGAGUCUUUGAACGCACAUUGCGCCCCCUGGUAUUCCGGGGGGCAUGCCUGUCCGAGCGUCAUUGCUGCCCUCAAGCACGGCUUGUGUGUUGGGCUUCCGUCCCUGGCAACGGGGACGGGCCCAAAAGGCAGUGGCGGCACCAUGUCUGGUCCUCGAGCGUAUGGGGCUUUGUCACCCGCUCCCGUAGGUCCAGCUGGCAGCUAGCCUCGCAACCAAUCUUUUUAACCAGGUUGACCUCGGAUCAGCUAGGGAUACCCGCUGAACUUAAGC